UCAACCCUCAAGCCCUGGCUUGGUGUUGGAGGCCCGGCGAGGUUUCGACCCCGCCGCUCCGAAAGACAAUGACGGCGUCCGGCGGACUCCUGGUACAAUGAGCUUCUCCAAGCACGUGCCGGUCGUGGUCCCCGGGGGCUGGUCUGAACCAUAUUCUUCUAA
rnacentral:misc_RNA from 1 species